GAUGAACGCUGGCGGCGUGCUUAACACAUGCAAGUCGAGCGAAGCACUUUUGCGGAUUUCUUCGGAUUGAAGCAAUUGUGACUGAGCGGCGGACGGGUGAGUAACGCGUGGGUAACCUGCCUCAUACAGGGGGAUAACAGUUGGAAACGGCUGCUAAUACCGCAUAAGCGCACAGUACCGCAUGGUACCGUGUGAAAAACUCCGGUGGUAUGAGAUGGACCCGCGUCUGAUUAGGUAGUUGGUGGGGUAACGGCCUACCAAGCCGACGAUCAGUAGCCGGCCUGAGAGGGUGACCGGCCACAUUGGGACUGAGACACGGCCCAAACUCCUACGGGAGGCAGCAGUGGGGAAUAUUGCACAAUGGGGGAAACCCUGAUGCAGCGACGCCGCGUGAGCGAUGAAGUAUUUCGGUAUGUAAAGCUCUAUCAGCAGGGAAGAAA
rnacentral:rRNA from 1 species